rnacentral:tmRNA from 2 species
GGGGGUGUACUGGUUUCGACGGGGUUUUAGAAGCUUUAGAAGCGAGCCGCAGGAGAUGCGUCAAAUCUCAAACCUAAAUAUAAACGCUAAAAACGAAAAAUUAGCAUUAGCUGCAGCUUAAUUGCAGCUUGCCUGCCUUAGAGCACCCGCACUUUAAGAAUCAGGUAUCGACCAUGUGGGAAACGACUUAUGCAAAGCUUUGCGCAUAAGGGCGUAUUAUGAAGCUACUGAAACCAAAAACCUGUUUCUGGGUGUUUGGCCAAGGGAAUGUUAAAACAGAAACUACGCUCGUAGAAGGACAGUAGAUAGAAUUUCGGACAGGGGUUCGAUUCCCCUCACCUCCA